UUUUGCCCAAUCAUAAAUAGGGCUAUUGUGGGGGGAUGGUUGUAUGCCCGUGGCGCAUUUCAUACAUCCGAGUGUAAUGGUAACCAGAUAGAGAGGCGCCGCGCGCGGGGACCAUCGGCCGGCGUUAACACCCGCGUGGGAGGCGGUGCUAAGCUGCUGCUACGCGCGUGAACCUUCAUUCGAUCGGUAAGGUGGAGAUCGGCGGUGGCCCGGCCUUGCGGUGGACGAGAGGGAGAGCACUGGCGGGGGAUGAUUCCAGCGUAAUGACGAUCGGCCCGAAUUGUUGCGGAAGACGUGGCUUACGACGACUGGUGCGAAGGUAAAAUGAUCCACGAGGAGGAGAACAUCCGCGAGUCUCUCACAUUUGAGGAGAUACAGAUCGAAAGUUGAGCUAUUCUGACGACUCGAGCGGUAUAGAUCCGCGUGGAAACAACUUUGCGAGAGUGAUAAUGGGGCAUCGCGAUAUGAAAUAUCUUGGGACGAGCAAAAUUCGACAUACGAAACGCGCAUAAUUCUCGUUCGGAAGUUUUCAGAAGAGUGCUAAGAGAGGGAAAUGAAGGAGGAAGAGAGAAUUUUAGGGAGAUAAUCUUUCAUGUCGCGUGACACUUUCUUCCGCAUCGUUAUCCCCGCUUCGAGCACGCUUCGAGACGUUUGACCUCGUAACUCGAAUUACUCGAGAUCGAAUUACUUACCCCCGACCCCCGAUGGUCUAUUGCCUCUUGACGUGCUUCUGAAAAUGUCUUCGCCCAACGAGAUCCCUCGGAAAAAUAAUUACGAAAUUGCUUGGGGAAACAUAAUCGACAAAAAAUGAGCAUCGUGCAUUAUUUACAAAUAGAUUUGAUACAUACGUUUAAAUAUUUCUUAACGAUUUAAUUAAAUGCAGCUCGAUAUAGAAAGCGCAUGUAGAUAACGAUUUUAUAUAUAGAUAACAAAUACUCGGCACGCUUGAAAAUUGCACGUAAGUAUUGAUUCGAGGGCCACCACUAAUCUCUCUCUCUUCUCGCUCCCUACCCUUCACCCUUUUUAUACCGUGCAGUCCAUACAAACAUAAUGAGGCACUCGAGCACUGUUUCCAAGCGAUUCAAUCUUUAUUAGGUUCAGAGUAUAUUUCUAAUUUUAUAUUCGACUUCUCCGCACGUAAUCUCACUGACAAUCCAAUAAUAUACCGAUACCUCGUAAAUACACCAAAUACUGGGGCGAUUUCUGAAACUGAGUUUUAUCAGUUUUAUACUUCACACGUGAAAUUAUAUCUUAAAAAAACGAACAAAAAAAAUUGGCUUGUCCCAAUUUAAUCGUGAACUCUCGAAUCAACGAUCAAUUCCACCGAUACAAAAUGUAUAGUGAAUAAAAAUAGUAUAUUUGCACGUCUCCUAUAUCUCUUGGAAAUUAUUCCAUCCGAAAGAAAGAUAUCGCUGGACAAUGGUUUUUAUCGGAAAGCACGCUUUUUUUACGUGUAACACUUUUUUACAUCAUAUUAAUUUCGAAGCCAACGUGCACGUGUUUGUGUGCGAAUACUUUUUUUAUUCAUUGUAAAACAGAUAUAGAUUAUAUCCUACGAACCGAUCCCACAGAUCCUAUCAACAGGCAAUCGUAA